UGCGUAGGAUGCAAGCGUUGUCCGGAAUUAUUGGGCGUAAAGAGCGCGCCGGCGGUAACUCAAGUCAGAUGUGAAAUAUCCGGGCUUAACCCGGAGGGGUCAUUUGAAACUGAGUAACUAGAGUACAGCAGAGGAUAGCGGAAUUCCCGGUGUAGUGGUGAAAUGCGUAGAUAGCGGGAGGAACACCAGUGGCGAAGGCGGCUAUCUGGGCUGAAACUGACGCUGAGGCGCGAAGGCUAGGGGAGCAAACAGG
rnacentral:rRNA from 1 species